CAUACGGGACACGGAAUUUAGUUUUGGCGGGCGAAACGAACCUUGUCUCUCGAUCGGAGAAGCGUGGAGUUCCGUUGGUAUUUUGCCUUUUCAAUUUAGAUCGUGCCUCUCUUAGACACAAUGAGCAACACAAAGAACAAAGAUAGAAGGCAAACAACACCAUCAUUCAAGUAUGGUGAAAGAGAUUUUGCUAUGGUUGCAAAACUUGGACAAGUAAAGAGCACAAAGAAUUCAGAGCUAAGACAACUGUGAGAACUGAAGUCAAUUCAAUGAUCCAUUCCAGGAUUUUUUGUAGAGUACAGGAAAACAUUAAAACCUAGGGAAACCACAAAGAGGAA